UAUUAUGUAAGCUUCAGGGUCACAGAAGCAUAAUCAUUAGAGAAAAAAAAUAAAAAGGUAAGGGAUUUGCUUCAGUACCUGAAUGCACUUCCUCGUCACAAAAUAGAAAAUGGGGCAUUGUGAAGCACAGGAAGAUUAUCAGAGGACAAGAGUUUGUGAUGGUCAUGUUAAUUGCAGAGUGCUAUGGCUAUCUUUCUUUGGCUUUUUCUUCACAAACAAGUUUUUGGAAAGAAUUUUGAAGGUGCUAGAGAAGGGGGUGCUAUCUGGAGCGUUGAUAUGUGGUGACCCCUAGUGUACAACAAUGCUAUGAUUGGUUUGCAGAUUUUAAGUCCUCUCCAGGUUCAGGUCCCCCGCUUUAUUCAUGGGUUAUAAUAAUGUACCAACAGUUAUUUUAUGCAUAAAAUUUUACUGUUACGGUGAUUUUUUAAUGAUAAUUAAUAAUCUAUAAACUCUUAUGAAAGUUAUACGUAUGGUGUUAAGUUUUUGAUUUUUU
rnacentral:lncRNA from 1 species